CACCCCUCAAGCCUUGCUUGGUGUUGGAGCACUACCGUUUGUAUAAAGCGGUAGGCUCUGAAAUUCAGUGGCGGGCUCGCUAAGACUCUGAGCGUAGUAGUUUAUCACCUCGCUUUGGAAGGAUUAGCGGUGCUCUUGCCGUAAAACCCCCCAAUUUCUGAA
rnacentral:misc_RNA from 1 species